GAUGUUGUGUCCGAGAGGUUAAGGCGAUGGACUCGAAAUCCAUUGGGGUUGCCCCGCGCAGGUUUGAAUCCUGCCAACAACG